rnacentral:rRNA from 1 species
UCCCUACGGGNGGNNAGCAGUGGGGGAAUAUUGGACAAUGGGCGGGAAGCCUGAUCCAGCCAUGCCGCGUGUGUGAAGAAGGCCUUAUGGUUGUAAAGCACUUUAAGCGAGGAGGAGGCUACUUUAGUUAAUACCUAGAGAUAGUGGACGUUACUCGCAGAAUAAGCACCGGCUAACUCUGUGCCAGCAGCCGCGGUAAUACAGAGGGUGCAAGCGUUAAUCGGAUUUACUGGGCGUAAAGCGCGCGUAGGCGGCUAAUUAAGUCAAAUGUGAAAUCCCCGAGCUUAACUUGGGAAUUGCAUUCGAUACUGGUUAGCUAGAGUGUGGGAGAGGAUGGUAGAAUUCCAGGUGUAGCGGUGAAAUGCGUAGAGAUCUGGAGGAAUACCGAUGGCGAAGGCAGCCAUCUGGCCUAACACUGACGCUGAGGUGCGAAAGCAUGGGGAGCAAACAGGAUUAGAUACCCUGGUAGUCCAUGCCGUAAACGAUGUCUACUAGCCGUUGGGGCCUUUGAGGCUUUAGUGGCGCAGCUAACGCGAUAAGUAGACCGCCUGGGGAGUACGGUUCGCAAGACUAAAACUCAAAUGAAUUGACGGGGGCCCGCACAAGCGGUGGAGCAUGUGUU